GAUGAACGCUGGCGGCGUGCCUAAUACAUGCAAGUCGAGCGAACAAACGAGGAGCUUGCUCCUCUUACGUUAGUGGCGGACGGGUGAGUAACACGUGGAUAACCUGCCUUGUAGACUGGGAUAACUACGGGAAACCGGAGCUAAUACCGGAUAAUAUAUGGAAACGCAUGGUUCUUAAGUGAAAGACGGAUUUGCUGUACCUCAUAGUUGUAUCCUGGUCGCAUUAGCUAGUGGGUAAGUUAACGGCUUACUAAGGCAACUAUGAGUAGCCGACCUGAGAGGGUGAUCGGCCACCCUGGAACUGAGACACGGUCCAGACUCCUACGGGAGGAAGCAGUAGGGAAUCUUGGGCAAUGGGCGAAAGCCUGACGGAGCAACGCCGCGUGAGUGAUGAAGGUCUUCGGAUCGUAAACCUCUGUGAUUAGGGAGGAAGGAAUGUGUAAUUAAAUAUUCACGUCUUGACGGUACCUAAUCAGAAAGCCACGGCUAACUACGUG
rnacentral:rRNA from 1 species